AUGCUGGACAUGGGCAGGGGCCGCCUCAAGGAGACGGUGGAGGCGCUGAGGGUGGAGGAUGCCGGGUUGCUACAGGGUCUCGGGGCACUGCACGUCGCCGCUAACCGAGGGAGGCUGGAGGUGUGCAGGUACUUGGUCGAGGAACUGCAGGUUGAUGUGAACGCCGUCGACAAGGGAGGUAGAACACCUCUGUUUUUUGCGAUAUCUUGUAAGGGUGUGGGUAUUGCCAAAUAUCUUCUUGAUCAUGGUGCCAAUCCAAACAAAAGCUGCCACGAUGGGCUUUCCCCUUUACAUGAAGCCACUGCAUCAGGAGAUUGUGAAACUGUUAAACUAUUGCUUGCUAAAGGAGCCUAUAUUGACCCGGUAGCCUUUUGUGGGACACCACUUCAUUGCGCUGCUACUCAAGGGCAUGACGGCAUUUUGAAGAUUUUGCUGGACCACAAUGCAGACCGCAAUAAAGAGGUAAAUGGCAAGACGCCUCUCAUUGCAGCUGUAGAUGCUGACUCAAGGAACUGUAUGCUUCUCCUGAUUAGGGCUGGUGCUGACACCAAGGGAGCUUUAACCUAUGCUGCGGAGAAUCUCCAUUCUCAAAAACUUGUUUCAACUGACUUCGUCAAUUGCAUUAAGGAGGACGCUGCUGCCAACCGUGUUCUUCCAGAUGAUGAGCCUGUGUCUAAAAGCAAAACUAGAGCGGCAGGGUUUAAGAAACUUGCGAACAACUCUUUCAAGAAGAAGGAUUAUUUUUCUGCAGCAGGAUCCUACAGUGUGGCAAUGAUGCUUGAUCCAGAUGAUGCGACCAUGUACUCAAACAGGAGCCUUUGCUCGCUCCGCAUGGGUGACGGAGACAAGGCUUUGAUAGAUGCUAACGAAUGCAGGAAAAUGCGGCCUGAUUGGCCAACAGCCUGUUACCGGCAAGGCGCGGCUCUGAUGUUACUGAAGGAUUACAAGGGUGCUUGCGAACAUUUCCUGGAUGGACUCAAGUUGGACCCAGCUAACACUGAGAUUGAGGAUGCAUUACGGUAUCCCAUCUGCCUCUUUUUUGUUGUUUGUGGCAAACCCAUCAUUGGUUGCAUUAUGCAUUGUGAGGAACCAAACAUACUUAUAUUAGUAUUUAUUAAGUUCUUGUUGUGCUUUUGCUCCUAA
rnacentral:rRNA from 1 species